AGUUUGCACUUAUCGGGAAGGGUGAGAACCUUCGAUUAAGGUUCGAGUCGAGCGAAAGCGAGACAACGUUGCCGCAGGCAACGGCCCGAAGGAGUGAGGAGCGAAGCGACGAAUAAUCCUUCCCCCACCACCA
rfam:Kluyvera intestini strain GT-16 tig00000000, whole genome shotgun sequence.